UACGGAGGAUGCAAGCGUUAUCCGGAUUUAUUGGGUUUAAAGGGUCCGUAGGCGGGCUAAUAAGUCAGUGGUGAAAUCGAGCAGCUUAACUGUUCAACUGCCAUUGAAACUGUUGGUCUUGAGUGAAUUUGAAGUUGCCGGAAUAUGUAGUGUAGCGGUGAAAUGCAUAGAUAUUACAUAGAACACCAAUUGCGAAGGCAGGUAACUAAGAUUUAACUGACGCUGAUGGACGAAAGCGUGGGGAGCGAACAGGAUUAGAUACCCGGGUA
rnacentral:rRNA from 1 species